CCUACGGGAGGCAGCAGUGAGGAAUAUUGGUCAAUGGGCGCAAGCCUGAACCAGCCAAGUCGCGUGAAGGAUGACGGCCCUACGGAUCGUAAACCUCUUUUAUAAGGGAAUAAAGUGUGGCACUUGUCCCAUUUUGUAUGUACCUUAUGAAUAAGGAUCGGCUAACUCCGUGCCAGCAGCCGCGGUAAUACGGAGGAUCCGAGCGUUAUCCGGAUUUAUUGGGUUUAAAGGGUGCGUAGGCGGCUUUUCAGUCAGCUGUGAAAGUCUGGGGCUCAACCGUAGAAUUGCCGUUGAAACUGGGAGGCUUGAGUAUGUUUGAGGCAGGCGGAAUUCGUGGUGUAGCGGUGAAAUGCUUAGAUAUCACGCAGAACCCCGAUUGCGAAGGCAGCCUGCCAAGCCAUGACUGACGCUGAUGCACGAAAGCGUGGGUAUCAAACAGGAUUAGAUACCCCAGUAGUC
rnacentral:rRNA from 1 species